rnacentral:rRNA from 1 species
UAGCGAACAAGUACCGUGAGGGAAAGGUGAAAAGCACCCCGAUGAGGGGAGUGAAAGAGACCUGAAACCGAACACCUACAAGCAGUCGGAGCCUCCUUGCGGGGUGACGGCGUACCUUUUGUAUAAUGGGUCAGCGACUUACAUUCAGUGGCGAGGUUAACCGAAUAGGGUAGCCGUAGAGAAAUCGAGUCCGAAUAGGGCGAAUCAGUCGCUGGGUGUAGACCCGAAACCAAGUGAUCUAUCCAUGGCCAGGUUGAAGGUGCGGUAACACGUACUGGAGGACCGAACCCACUAACGUUGAA